rnacentral:lncRNA from 1 species
UCUGGUGGAGAUCUCCAACAUGCAGCAAGAAUAGACUACAAGAGGCUGCACUUAGCCUCCAGAGUUGUCUCUUCAACAAGACAGGUCUGAUCAUCUCAGUAACCUUCUUCUGGGACUCCUGUUAGACGUGUAUAUUUAAUACCAUUGGCUAAGUCGUAACAAUCAUCCAAGUCAACCGACCUCCCAGCCUGCCCACAUUGCCUCCCUGUAGGAAGUGAUUUUGCACACAGAAGCCCCUGGUGGGGUAGGGUGGAGUGUGAAGUAUCUGUUCUUGGACCACAGUUCCAUCCCUGGAGCAGCAAUUGUGAAGCAUCGUUCUCCUGUUCCAGCAUCUCUCCAAAGACGCUCAGGUCUCCGUCACAGGAUCACCAUUGAAAAAGGUGUCUGUCCCUCUGACACAUACCCAGGGGAGGAAAGAGCAAGCUUUGGAGGCACCUGGUUGACUUCACCUGGAGGUAUGUUUUAUGACCCAGAAU